rnacentral:tmRNA from 1 species
GGGGGUGAGUGAGCUUCGACAUGGGUGCGGGUGGCCAUGGCUGCGAGCCGAGCUCCUGCGACUCGUAAAUCCGCAGGGCAGUCAAUAACUGCCGAGCCUGAGUACGCACUGGCUGCCGCGUAAGGCGGCGCCACGCUCGCCUGACGGCCUUCUCGCCGCCGCAGGGCCGAGCGUCAUCUGAGCGAGAUACCCUGGUUGCCUCGCUCCCGGGCGGCCUGGGGAAACCUUAGGGAGCUGGCGGCUGCCAUAUCCGGCCCUCGGGAUCGGGCAGCGGCGAGCACGGACAAACGGGGGAUACGCUCGUAGGUGCCGUGGUGGCCUCGCUCAUGGACGGCGGUGCAACUCCGCCCACCUCCACCA